UCAAAUUGGGUGGUAGACUUCACCUAAGGCUAAAUAUCAGCGAGAGACCGAUAGCGAACAAGUACUGUGAAGGAAAGAUGAAAAGCACUUUGAAAAGAGAGUUAAAUAGUACGUGAAAUUGUUGAAAGGGAAACGAUUGAAGUCAGUCACGCUAGUGAAAAUUCAGUUUGACGGGUUUUGGGUUUAGGAGUAAGAGGUAGGGUCAAACCAUCUCUCUUUUAAACUUGGGGUUUGUCGGAUGCACUUAUUCUUUGGCAGGUCAGCGUCGAUUUUGGGAGUUGUAAAAUACUUGGGGGAAAGUAGCUCUGUUUCGGGAGAGUGCUAUAGACCCUGGGAGAUGCAGCUUGCGGGAUCGAGGAUUGCAGCAAAUGCCUUUGGCUUGUCGCCUGAUCUCUAGUUGUUACCUCGUUUAUGACAACAUUCUUGUCAUCGAUGAGUGCUAAUGGCUAUUAGGUUAGAACGAUCAAAAAUUUGCUAAGGAUGCUGGCGUAAUGGCUUUAAACGACCCGUCUUGAAACACGGACCAAGGAG
rnacentral:rRNA from 1 species